rnacentral:rRNA from 1 species
UACAGGGGGUGCAAACGUUGCUCGGAAUCAUUGGGCGUAAAGCGCACGUAGGCGGUCUGUUAUGUCGGAUGUGAAAGCCCUUGGCUCAACUGAGGAAGUGCAUCCGAAACUGGCAGGCUAGAGUACUAAAGAGGGUCGCGGAAUUCCCGGUGUAGAGGUGAAAUUCGUAGAUAUCGGGAGGAACACCGGUGGCGAAGGCGGCGACCUGGGUAGAUACGUGACGCUGAGGUGCGAAAGCGUGGGGAGCAACAGGGAGUUAAGA